CGGGACGUAGCUCAACGGCGGAGCGGCUGCUCGACAUGCAGAAGGCCGGAGGUUCGAUUCCUCUCGUCCCGA
rnacentral:tRNA from 1 species